AGACAGAAAGAGAGGAUUUAGGAAACAUGAGAGGAAACUAAAAAAAUUGAAAAUGGCUUAGCAAACGGAAAGGAUUAUUAGGGAAGGCAAGGAGAGGCGAGGAGGAAAGUCAACAAGAAAGGAGAGAGAAAAAAUUUAGAAAGCGUGAGAAGAAACUGAAGGGAUUGGAAACGGCCAAGCAAACAACAAAUAUUAAAAAGACAUGAUUGGCUGUGAAAAACACUUAACUAGAAGCAUGUCCGGAAACUAAGAGGACAGAAAAAUGAGUCGAGAGCUGAAAGAAGAAAUAAAAAAGGGUGAGAAUAAAAGAAUAAGAAAUUAAAAGGAUUGGAAGCGGCUCAUGAAACAAAAGAGAAACGUGAAUCAAGACAAAGGAGUCGAGAGUUGAAAGGAGAAAUAAAAAAGGGAGGGAAUAAAAGAAUAAGAAAUUAAAAGGAUUGGAAGCGGCUCAGGAAACAAAAGAGAAACGUGAACCAAGACAGGGUUGGGAUCGAAAACCAUUCAACUCCAAGCAAGACGUCAAAUUAAAGCAUUGAGAUAAAAAAGGAAGUCGGGAAACGUGAAAAGAAAGUAAACAGACUGUCAACGGCUUAGCAAAAGGAGCAUGAAAGAAGAAAUUAGAAGAAGAACGAAAAAAAAAGCAUAAGGGAAAACUUGAUUGGGGUUAGAAAAGAACAAAAGCCAAACAAGACUAAACUAAAGCAUUGAAUCCCUUUGUGGUGGUGGUGGUAGUGGAGGUGUGUGCGUCUGAUAACCCCCUCCCCCCCCACCCCCACCCCCACCCGCUGGCCAUAACUCUCCGCCUCCUCGCCAUAAGUCUGCCCGUGGUGUUAAAGAAGGCUUUGGUCCACUGACGCCGAACAACCAUUUAAGGGUCCUCGUAAGCCCCUUCCAAGUCUUAUCUAAGCCCCCUGUGUGGUGAUGAGGGCACAAAUGAAAAGAAAACGGGUACGAGGCGAGUCUGAGGUUGGUUGGGUGUAGGUUUUGCAGCACAAUCUCUUCUGCGUCGGGUUAGAUAAAUGGACGAUAUAUUAUAACGUACUUAGAGUUUAAUUGUUGCUUGACUGAUAUGUCUUCUCACACCGAUUGAUAGAUGAAUAGAUCGAUAAAAAUAGGUGGAAAGAGAAAUAGGUUGAUUGACUGAAUGAAUGAUAGAUGACAGAGUAAAUGGAAAGAUAGAUUGAUUGACAGAUAGAUAGGUAGAUUGAUUGAUUGAUAGAUAGGUCUUUUCACACCGAUUGAUAGAUGAACAGAUCGAUAAAAAUAGGUGGAAAGAGAAAUAGGUUGAUUGACUGAAUGAAUGAUAGAUGGCAGAGUAAAUGGAAAGAUAGAAUGACUGACAGAACGGGAGAUAGAUAGGUAGAUUGAUUGACUGAACGGUAGAUAGAUAGGUAGACUGAUUGACAGAACGGUAGAUAGAUAGGUAGACUGAUUGACAGAACGGUAGAUAGAUAGGUAGACUGAUUGACAGAACGGUAGAUAGAUAGGUAGACUGAUUGACAGAACGGUAGAUAGAUAGGUAGACUGAUUGACAGAACGGUAGAUAGAUAGGUAGAUUGAUUGACAGAACGGUAGAUAGAUAAAUUGAUUGAUUGAUAGAUAGUUGAAGCUAAGAUUUUUGGGGGCAGUAUAGAGUUGGGCAAUAUCCGGAUAUCUCUUUUAUUAUAGUAUAAGUUUUGCGUCCAUAUUCCAAGCUCUGCCUCACGAAAAGACGUCAGUGACCACCAACAAAAAAAACAAGGUCAAAUUAUAAACAUUUUCACGAAUUCGAAAUGCCUCACUUCCAAUUAACGUUUUUCUUGACCAAACUGCGUCGCUAAAUUACCAAAAGAGGAAAUUCGUUAGAUUCUGGCAGCCUUUAAUCCGUGCAAAUUAUCCAGUGAAAACUCUUAGGAUAACUGAUAUUGCUGGAACAGAUGUCAAAGGGAAUGUCCGAGGGAGGAAAAGCUUGUAUUAUGGGCUGAGUCACUAACAUCCUAUUGUUUUUUAUUACUGCUUUCAGAAUUGUUUUACGGCAAUGAUUCACUGGUUAAGGUUAAGCUCCAUUAUGGCGGUAAUUCGUACGUGUUAACAUAUGUUUGAAGUUAAGGAAAUGGCCGAGGUAGGGACAGCUUUCAUUAUAUAAGGUCUAAGUUAUCAACAUCUGGUACUCUUACUUACUUGUUAUUUUUCUACUUAAUGGCAAGGAUUCACAGGUUUAAGGCCAAGCUCCAUUGUGGCGGUUACUCGUACGUGUUAACAUAUAUUUAAUGUCAAGGGAAUGGCCGAGGCAGGAAUAGCUUGUAUUAUUAUGGGCUUAGUCAUACUCUACUACAUUCACUACUGCUAUUUUCUACUUUAUGGCAAUGAUUCACAGGUUUAAGGCUAAGCUCCAUUGUGGCGGUUACUCGUAUGUGUUAACAUUAUAUUUUAUGUCAAGGGAAUGGCUGAGUCAGGAAGAGCUUGUAUUAUUAAGGGCUAAGUCAUACUCUACUACAUUCACUACUGCUAUUUUCUAUCUAAUAACAAUGAUUCACAGGUUUAAGGCCAAGCUCCAUUGUGGCGGUUACUCGUACGUGUUAACAUAUAUUUGAUGUCAAGGGAAUGGCUGAGUCAGGAAGAGCUUGUAUUAUUAUGGGCUAAAUCAUCCUCUGGUGCUGUUAUUCACUACUGCUAUUUUCUACUUAAUGGCAAUGAUUCACAGGUUUAAGGCGGUAACUAAUAUAACCUGUUAACAUAUACUCAUCCAUCACCUGGUAUGAAGCAGCCUUACGGGUAUCCUUCCCCCUAACACCUUAAUGUUGUAA